rfam:Gossypium hirsutum cultivar TM-1 chromosome 20, whole genome shotgun sequence
UGUUAAAAAUUUCAUCCAUUUGUACUGUUAAAAAAUAGUGUGGCUGACGGAAUAAGCAUAUAUUGACACGUGGCAUGUCACGUGUACCUCAUGCUGACGUACAAAGACCAAUUUUUAACAGUAGAAAUUGAUGGAAUUACUAUCA